UCUCGACCUUCUCUUUGAUGCAGAUGCUGAUGGCAACCCUCCAGCAAUACAUCGAUAGACACCUUAUGGUGGACCUUUUUUAUCAGAUCGUGUUAACAGAUCCGAUCUAGGUGGCCGUGGUGUCAUUCCAUAUAGGAUGGCAGCAGCAGUAGUAGCAAGCAGCAACGUUCAUGGGGUUGGAGUCGGCGGUGCACGGGAAUGAUGAUGGUGGGGUCCGGGCAGGAGGUGAUGUAGUACCAAUGGAUGGUGGAGGGAGAGAGAAAUGUCAGAAUCUAUAACUUGGAUUUUAUGUAGCGAGUCUAUAGCUCCGACGACAUGCAGCAGAUACU
rnacentral:lncRNA from 1 species